rnacentral:rRNA from 1 species
GAUGAACGCUGGCGGCGUGCCUAAUACAUGCAAGUCGAGCGAACAGACGAGGAGCUUGCUCCUCUGACGUUAGCGGCGGACGGGUGAGUAACACGUGGAUAACCUACCUAUAAGACUGGGAUAACUUCGGGAAACCGGAGCUAAUACCGGAUAAUAUAUUGAACCGCAUGGUUCAAUAGUGAAAGACGGUUUUGCUGUCACUUAUAGAUGGAUCCGCGCCGCAUUAGCUAGUUGGUAAGGUAACGGCUUACCAAGGCAACGAUGCGUAGCCGACCUGAGAGGGUGAUCGGCCACACUGGAACUGAGACACGGUCCAGACUCCUACGGGAGGCAGCAGUAGGGAAUCUUCCGCAAUGGGCGAAAGCCUGACGGAGCAACGCCGCGUGAGUGAUGAAGGUCUUCGGAUCGUAAAACUCUGUUAUUAGGGAAGAACAAAUGUGUAAGUAACUAUACACGUCUUGACGGUACCUAAUCAGAAAGCCACGGCUAACUACGU